UACGGAGGAUCCGAGCGUUAUCCGGAUUUAUUGGGUUUAAAGGGUGCGCAGGCGGGAGAUUAAGUCGGCGGUGAAAUUUUGCAGCUCAACUGUAAAAGUGCCUUCGAAACUGGUUUCCUUGAGUGUAGAUGAAGUAGGCGGAAUUUGUGAUGUAGCGGUGAAAUGCAUAGAUAUUGCACAGAAGGCCGAUUGCGGAGGCAGCUUACUGAGCCAUAACUGACGCUGAGGCACGAAAGCGUGGGGAUCAAACAGGAUUAGA
rnacentral:rRNA from 1 species